rnacentral:lncRNA from 1 species
CCACCAUUGGGUUAGAUAUACAUUUUUAAAAUACGAACCACAGCUCUUAGUAUGAUAUAACACGAGUCUACCCAAUAGAACCAUGGCAGCUAACAGUGAUGAACUGCAACCGUUGAGCGAAAAAAAUUUAAAAAAGAUAUAUUACGAAAAUUUUAUUGACGAGUUAAAUGAUGAGGAAUUGAUGUAUAAAAAAACAGUCGAAGAUUUAUUUUAUAUUUAUAAAUCAUUUGGUUUUAUAUAUUCUAUUAUAAAAAAAGCUAACUUAUUACUCGAUAAAGAAAGUUUUGAUAUGUUUAUAAAGUCAUUAGUUAGUUUUAUUGAUGAGUUAUUAAUUAAUAAUCCUAAUAUAUUCGAACAAGAUUUUAAUAGUGCUAAUAUUAAUAAUACAAAUAAAGAUAUUACUACUAGUACUACUACUACUACUACUACUACUACUAACAGUAGUAGUUCUUUGAAUAAAAAAAGAAAAGUUGAGUACGAUAAUGCAUAUGAUACUAGUAUAAACCAUACGGAUACAGUUUUAACUAAUAGUAUAAGUUAUAGCCCACAUGAAAUAAACAUUAAUAAUAAUGAAGAACAUAUAAAUAUAUUAGCCAAAUGUUAUAUAAUAGAGCUAAUAAAUGACAUAAAUAUUAUUGAUGAAAAAUUUAGCGAAAAAAAUACUAAAGACUUUUUAUUUAUUAUUAAACAUAUUUUAAAACUAAAAAAAUAUGUGGAAACAUAUCAAAUAAAAAAUAGGUUCGAAAAAAUAAAAAAAAUUUUAACAAUUGGUAAAUCUAUGUUUCGUAAAGAUGAAUAUUUAGAUGAGUCUGAUGAAAACAGCACUACUUUAAACAUGAACAAUCUUAAUGACAAAAGUUCACAGAAUGCUAAUUUUAAUAAUGACAAAAAAUUACUAGCACACGACCUUAUAGACAAAAUGAUAAACAAACUAACUAAAAUCGAACCUACUGUAAUUGCUAUCACUCAUAAACAAAAUUUUUGGUAUACAACUAUUAUGAACAAGUCAGAAUAUGAUAGUUUAAACUCUGUAUUAAAUUUAGAUUUAGAAACAGCUAAUGAAAAAAUUGAAGAAAUGUAUACAGAAGUAAUACAACUAUUUAGUGAAAAAAUGACUAUAAAUGAAGACCUAUUUAUAAUGAAAGAAAAAUUAGAGCGAUUAAAAAAUAGUUAUGAUGCGGAGAUUCAACGGAAAUUACAACAAGAAAUGGAAUUAUCAAAAAAAUUAGAAGAUAAAAGAAAAGCUGUUCAAUUUAUUAUUGAUAGAUAUAAUGAAUAUACAUGGUUUGAUAAAAAUUCACCGAAAAAACAUUCAUUUUAUAUACUGGGUAUAAAUCCUACUACUAUAACUGAAGAACAAAUAAAAAGUUUCGGAAAAAGGUUGAAGCAUAUUUUGCACCCUGAUAAAGAACCUAACAAAGAAUGGAAAGCGAAGGCAGAAUCCGCAUUUAAGGAAGCAUCAUUAGCUAUCUUAGGAUGUCAAAAAGAGUUCAGAACCAAAAUUUUAAAAAAUUUAGAAAUGGGGCCAGAAGCACCUUACUUAGCUUUAAUUGGAAUUGACAAUGGAUCUAGUGGUAUACCAUCUAACUUAAAUCAAAACGCACAAUCGAAUCAAAGUUCAAGUUCAAGUUCAAGUUCAACUCCUAACCAAAAUAAUGAGCUCCCCAAAUAUUACCCAACUCAAGCAUACUAUCCUAAAUUCGAACUGAAAUGCGUUGAUCAAAAAAUAGGUACGAUACUUAUUGAUAUAAAGUGUCCUUUACAAUUAGGUGUCAUAAAAAAAGUUAUUUUAUAUGUACAUAGACCUAUUUAUGGAACUGAGCCAUUAAAUUUGAUUCCAGAUGAUACCUUUUUAUCUUUUAAACAUGAACAAAAUGUUAAUAUUAAGAAUUUAAACCAACCUAUUGAAACUAAAGUUGAUUAUGUACAACCAUUAGAAAUUGCUUCUUCAACUAAAUACUACAUAGGUAUACAAUUAAUAGCUGAAAGAGGUAAUACAAUGAUUAAUUGGAACUCUAUUAAUAUAACUUUACAUAAAUUUAGUAAUAAAAAUAUUAUUAAAAAACUGUUAUCAUCAUUUAUUAAUGCUUCUUUUAUUAACCAAGCAAAACUUAACUCGGUACUUAAUAAUGAAAAUAAAGACGAAAUGACCAAAUAUUUAAAUGAGUGCAUUUCUAAUGCCAAAACAUGGGCACAAACAGUAUAGUCCCUUUUUUUUUUUUUUUUUUUUUUUUUUAAUGCAUGUACACGAAGUAUACAUACACUAAACAAUAUUCAUCAUUUUACUUAUUUUAAAAAAACUAUAUAUAUAUAUAUAUAUAUAUAUCUUUUUAUGUCUAUGAAAUAC